ensembl:lncRNA
AUGUGGGGCUGGAAGAACACCUGGAUGAGUGAUCAGCCUCCCUGCUCCUGUAGCAGCAUACUGAACAUCUUGCAAUGCUGAAAAUGGCUCACAAUAGCUGGUGGUUUGACUUUGAGAAAAAAUAAGAACUACACAUCAGAUAAAGUUGAAAAAGUAAAACUAUAAACUUACAAUGCUCUUAUUAUUAUUAUUAGGUAAAAGCUUUUCUUGGAAUACUGCUAGAAGACGUAUGUGCUAAUGGGAGAAAGGAUGAAGUGUAUCACAUGGUGGACUUCAUCCUCAACGCCCAGUGAUGAAAUUCGAAGAACCAAAAUGAUACUGGCAAAUGUAGAAAAAGCUGAAGAAAAUCUGGAGCACAAAAUCAUUUGCAGCACACGGGGAUCCCAGGAGGGCAGAGGGAACAUUAAAUCUCAGGAUGCUGUCAAUUGGGAAUGGGUUUUAUUGUGAGAUAUGCAUCCUUCCAAAACCAGCAUUAAUGGGCACCUUUAAAAUACUGAAGAGGAUGAUAACAUUCAAAUAUGAUGUUUUAGUCACAGUUUGGUUCCUGAGUAGAGUGAAAUAAUAAUGGUAAUGAUGAUUGAAGCAAUAAUAGUAAUUAAAAUAAAUAUAACCGUGUAUCAUUCUUGCUAUUGUUGUUUAUUCUUUUCAGAAAGUUUUGUGGCUCAGCAGAAAAGGAAGAUUUUUCAGGCCUUCAUUAACAGGACUAUUACAUCCCAGCGACUGCAGCAAACCACUUCACAAAUCUAAAGCAUUGAAAAUAACUUGAGUUUUCUGCAGAACACCCUGUACUUUAGGUCUCUGCUGUCUCCUGCAACUCAAAUUUGCAUUGUACUCAACAGAUAAACACCAUUAUUAGGGUAGGCAUUUAGGGAAUGAGAUGCAGUCAGUUUUAUUUCAUGCCAAGUUUCAGUCGGCAUCUCACUGUUUCAGUAAGCAGCUUCUUAAUGUGAUGUUAAAUCCCUGCUUUUCUCCAAAUCUCCCUCUCUGGAAUGUGGCUGAUUUGGCAGAGCUGUAUAAACACAUGGAAAAACAGCAGCAAUGCAGGCAAAACGAGACUGCCCCAGAGUGCAGAGGAUCACCCGGAGUGGAGGCAACCAGGAUACGUGCCUUGGUCUGGAAGGUGUGGUGUGUUCCUGUGCUCCCACCAAAGACAGUGGCAGGAGAGCCUGCAUCUCUCUGUGACUCUAUCCCUCAGCAGCAGGAUGGAGAUGAAGAUUUCCUUUUGCUGUCACGUCAGACAAGAGGUAUGUGCUCUGGGGUCACGUUACCACCAGAUGUACUUUGUUAGCAUCAGCUUCACCUCCCACUUCUUCUCACUUAGAACCCAUUGCUUGGACUGUGCAGCAAAUAGAGCUUUUGCUCUCCUAUCACUCAAGCAUUAUAUUCCCAUCAGGAAAAAAAAAAAAAAAGCUGAAUGUCUUAAAAACUUAAAUUCUUGCUAA